UGGGGAAUAUUGCACAAUGGACGGAAGUCUGAUGCAGCAACGCCGCGUGAAGGACGACGGUCUUCGGAUUGUAAACUUCUAUCGAUAGGGAAGAAAGAAAUGACGGUACCAAAGUAAGAAGCACCGGCUAACUACGUGCCAGCAGCCGCGGUAAUACGUAGGGUGCAAGCGUUAUCCGGAAUUACUGGGUGUAAAGGGUGAGUAGGCGGCAAGAUAAGUCAUAUGUGGAAUACCGGCACUUAAUGCAGGAAUUGCAUAAGAAACUAUCUGGCUAGAGUACAGGAGAGGUAAGCGGAAUUCCUAGUGUAGCGGUGAAAUGCGUAGAUAUUAGGAAGAACACCAGUGGCGAAGGCGGCUUACUGGACUGAAACUGACGCUGAGACACGAAAGCGUGGGGAGCAAACAGGAUUAGAUACCCCUGUAGUCC
rnacentral:rRNA from 1 species